UUUUUGCUGCUGAUCUCUACAGGAAAGCAAAAAGCCCCGAAGAGCCUGGCUUGGAAUAAAAACAUGCACCAUACAAGAUUUUUAUGAAGAUUAAAUAACUUGGGCUAAAAUAUUCUGGAAGCUGCCAAGGGCUCUACAGAUGAGCUAUACAGAGGCAUUUGCUGAAAACUGGCCUGGAUUGACAAGCGCAAUGCAAACGUAAGGAGCUGAACAGCCUCUGCUGUCCCGGGGGGAUGGCAGCCAGACAAGGCAGGUGGCUGCGGCAGUUCCAGUUCUUGCCUGCCACUUCUGGUCUCCAAGACAGCCCUCAGCCAUUACUGCCAGGAAUUAAGAUGCCUGUGAAAUCCACUCUCACCCUGCAACUGCCUUGCAAUGGAGUCCUUAGAAAACAUUAACUUCUUUUCAUUUUUCAGCCAUGAAACAGUGGUUUCUGGCAAACAGUCAUUCUGAACAUGGCUAUUAGUUAAGAAUCUCUGCAGACAAUAGCCAAGGGGCAACAAAGAAGCCUAAAAGAAAAGAUUUCAUAAUCUCUUAUUUGUGAUUUGCAAGUGGUAGCUGCUAAAAGUGACUUCUGCAAGCAGGCAGCUGCUUCUGCCAUUUACACUUAACCACAUAAUCAUAGAGCUGGGAGAGCCCUUAAUUCAUGCUCAUCAAUUGCCAGGGCCUGCAAGGCUUCCUGAAGAGUGUUCCAGAAUCCUCAAGUGCUGUCCUCACACCUCCACUUGAAACAGUCAAAACACACUGGGGAGAGGAGACAUCUACUCCUUCUCAGAACAGAAACAGAAAGACCAUUUUGUCACCUAAACUUCUAACUUUCUUGAUGAACAAUUUUUGAAUGCUAAGUUGUCUUCAGUCUGAGAUUUGGCUCUGGCACAGAUGGGGCCAUUUCCCUCUGUCAGAGAACAAAGUCAGGGGUGUCAGCCUCACAGGAUCAACCCAAGACCCUCUUGCAGGUUAUUCAGAGCCCACUAGAAAGACUAGUUUGGGAGAUGACUCUCUAGAGAGGUGAAAGCCAGAUGCAAGCGUGUGCACAACCAUUUAUAUAAUGUGCCACAUCAGAAGACAUUCUACAAGGGACCCUAAAUUAUCACCCACAGAACUGCCAGGGCUUGCCUGGUUGCAGAAACCUCAGAGAUGGGCCACGAAGGAGGCAGGGCUUUCCUGAAAUACAUAGAGAAGAAUUUCACUGAAUUGGUUAACAAAAGCUGAUGACAGCAUAUUUUUGCCAAAAGCAGAAAUCAAAAUCUUUAGACAU
rnacentral:lncRNA from 10 species